GACGAACGCUGGCGGCGUGCUUAACACAUGCAAGUCGAACGGAAAGGCCCUGCUUUUGUGGGGUGCUCGAGUGGCGAACGGGUGAGUAACACGUGAGUAACCUGCCCUUGACUUUGGGAUAACUUCAGGAAACUGGGGCUAAUACCGGAUAGGAGCUCCUGCUGCAUGGUGGGGGUUGGAAAGUUUCGGCGGUUGGGGCUGGACUCGCGGCUUAUCAGCUUGUUGGUGGGGUAGUGGCUUACCAAGGGUUUGACGGGUAGCCGGCCUGAGAGGGUGACCGGCGACAUUGGGACUGCGAUACGGACCAGACGCCUACGGGAGGCAGCAGUGGGGAAUAUUGCACAAUGGGCGGAAGCCUGAGGCAGCAACGCCGCGUGCGGGAUGACGGGCUUCGGGUUGUAAACAGCUUUCGCCUGUGACGAAGCGUGAGUGACGGUAAUGGGUAAAGAAGCACCGGCUAACUACGUG
rnacentral:rRNA from 1 species